rnacentral:rRNA from 1 species
UCCGUUGGUGAACCAGCGGAGGGAUCAUUACCGAGUUUACAACUCCCAAACCCAAUGUGAACGUUACCAAACUGUUGCCUCGGCGGGAUCUCUGCCCCGGGUGCGUCGCAGCCCCGGACCAAGGCGCCCGCCGGAGGACCAACCAAAACUCUUUUGUAUACCCCCUCGCGGGUUUUUUAUAUCUGAGCCAUCUCGGCGCCUCUCGUAGGCGUUUCGAAAAUGAAUCAAAACUUUCAACAACGGAUCUCUUGGUUCUGGCAUCGAUGAAGAACGCAGCGAAAUGCGAUAAGUAAUGUGAAUUGCAGAAUUCAGUGAAUCAUCGAAUCUUUGAACGCACAUUGCGCCCGCCAGUAUUCUGGCGGGCAUGCCUGUCCGAGCGUCAUUUCAACCCUCGAACCCCUCCGGGGGGUCGGCGUUGGGGAUCGGCCCUUUACGGGGCCGGCCCCGAAAUACAGUGGCGGUCUCGCCGCAGCCUCUCCUGCGCAGUAGUUUGCACACUCGCAUCGGGAGCGCGGCGCGUCCAUUGCCGUAAAACACCCAACUUUCUGAAAUGUUGACCUCGGAUCAGGUAGGAAUACCCGCUGAACUUAAGCAUAUCAAU